rnacentral:rRNA from 1 species
UAGGGUUUGAUCAUGGCUCAGAACGAACGCUGGCGGCAUGCCUAACACAUGCAAGUCGAACGAGACCUUCGGGUCCAGUGGCGCACGGGUGCGUAACGCGUGGGAAUCUGCCCUAGGGUGCGGAAUAACUCGGAGAAAUCCGUGCUAAUACCGCAUAAUGUCUUCGGACCAAAGAUUUAUCGCCCUGGGAUGAGCCCGCGUAGGAUUAGCUAGUUGGUGGGGUAAAGGCCUACCAAGGCGACGAUCCUUAGCUGGUCUGAGAGGAUGAUCAGCCACACUGGGACUGAGACACGGCCCAGACUCCUACGGGAGGCAGCAGUGGGGAAUAUUGGACAAUGGGCGAAAGCCUGAUCCAGCAAUGCCGCGUGAGUGAUGAAGGCCCUAGGGUUGUAAAGCUCUUUUACCCGGGAUGAUAAUGACAGUACCGGGAGAAUAAGCUCCGGCUAACUCCGUGCCAGCCGCCGCGGUAUC